rnacentral:rRNA from 1 species
CCCUUAGAGUUUGAUCCUGGCUCAGAUUGAACGCUGGCGGCAGGCCUAACACAUGCAAGUCGAGCGCGAAAGGUCCUCGGGCUGAGUAAAGCGGCGAACGGGUGAGUAACGCGUGGGAAUCUGCCUAGUAGUGGGGGACAACAGCCGGAAACGGCUGCUAAUACCGCAUACGCCCUACGGGGGAAAGGGGGGGAUCUUCGGACCUCUCGCUAUUGGAUGAGCCCGCGUCGGAUUAGCUAGUUGGUAGGGUAAAGGCCUACCAAGGCGACGAUCCGUAACUGGUCUGAGAGGAUGAUCAGUCACACUGGAACUGAGACACGGUCCAGACUCCUACGGGAGGCAGCAGUGGGGAAUAUUGGACAAUGGGGGCAACCCUGAUCCAGCCAUGCCGCGUGUGUGAAGAAGGCCUUCGGGUUGUAAAGCACUUUCAGUGGGGAGAAAAGUGAUUCACCUAAUACGUGAGUUAAUUGAUGUUACCCACAGAAGAAGCACCGGCUAACUCCGUGCCAGCAGCCGCGGUAAUACGGAGGGUGCAAGCGUUAAUCGGAAUUACUGGGCGUAAAGCGCACGUAGGCGGUUCGUUAAGCCAGCUGUGAAAUCCCCGGGCUCAACCUGGGAAUUGCAGUUGGAACUGGCGGGCUAGAGUAUGGUAGAGGGGUGUGGAAUUUCAGGUGUAGCGGUGAAAUGCGUAGAUAUCUGAAGGAACACCAGUGGCGAAGCGACACCCUGGACCAAUACUGACGCUGAGUGCGAAAGCGUGGGGAGCAA